UACGUAGGGCGCAAGCGUUGUCCGGAAUUAUUGGGCGUAAAGAGCUCGUAGGCGGCCUGUUACGUCUGCUGUGAAAUCCCGGGGCUUAACCCCGGGCGUGCAGUGGAUACGGGCAGGCUGGAGGCAGGCAGGGGAGAACGGAAUUCCCGGUGUAGCGGUGAAAUGCGCAGAUAUCGGGAGGAACACCAGUGGCGAAAGCGGCUUCCUGGUCCGACACCGACGUUCAGGCACGAAAGCGUGGGGAGCAAACAGG
rnacentral:rRNA from 1 species